CCCUAUGAGUGAAUAAAUAAAGCAUGAGGCACUCUGAUCCCACAGAGUGACAGAUGUCAUGUCUGUCUGGUGGACGGACGGCUCCACUGGACCUGUGUAGCUGAGAUAUAAUAUACUGAGUGUGAACAUUCUCAAAACUGUAUUGUAUAUAGUUUAUUUUUUUAUUGUGUAAAUUUAAUUUUUGUAAAACUAAGGUUCCACAUGUCACUGUUGAAGUGGGGCAUUAAUCAGUGUGACACCACUUGUAAACAUGCUGCAUGUGUGGGGGUUCCCAGCCAGAGCUGCAUGGACUCCACACUGGGAUGAGGAGAGACCUGCUGUUGCUGUGUGACACUGAUUUUGCUGCUGCACUUUGUCUUUUAGGUAUGUGUAUAUGUAUAGGUUUUGGUUUAUGUGUAUGAGUUCAUGAUCUGAGGCUGCACACUGAAUAAUAUUUUCAGCCAUGUUGGGAAAAGUUACAGUUGUUUGAAUAUGUAUUGUGUAAUUGAUCCAUCUUAGUGGGGAUUUAAAUAUUACAAGUUAUUAUUAGUGGCUUAUUUUUGACUAAACCUUGCUUCAUAUUUCUCUCUGUUUUACCCCACUAUAACAUUUGAUUUUAAAGUGGCUGUUGAGGGAAACCACACCAUUGUUUUGAUAGAUUGUAUUUUCUUUUAUAUAUUGUGAGCCAGAGCUCCAUGGACUCCACACUGGGAUGAGGAGAGACCUGCUGUUGCUGUGUGACACUGAUUUUGCUGCUGCACUGUCUUUUAGAAAUAAAUCCAGUUUCCAGCCA